CGGUCGCUGAACGGUACGUCAGACUGGAGAUCCCUGGGGCCAAUAUCGAACCUCUCGGGAGCUGUCCCUGCCGGACUCGUGGGUCCGGUAUAUGGUGCCCACCUGCAACGCAGGCCGCAGAGGAGAUCAGGGUCAACGGCCGGUCCGGCGCCGCC
rnacentral:other from 1 species